rnacentral:rRNA from 1 species
GAUGAACGCUAGCUACAGGCUUAACACAUGCAAGUCGAGGGGAAACGAUAUUGGAAGCUUGCUUCCGAUAGGCGUCGACCGGCGCGCGGGUGAGUAACGCGUAUCCAACCUGCCCACCACUUGGGGAUAACCUUGCGAAAGUAAGACUAAUACCCAAUGAUAUCUCAAGAAGACAUCUGAAUGAGAUUAAAGAUUUAUCGGUGAUGGAUGGGGAUGCGUCUGAUUAGCUUGUUGGCGGGGUAACGGCCCACCAAGGCGACGAUCAGUAGGGGUUCUAAGAGGAAGGUCACCCACAUUGGAACUGAGACACGGUCCAAACUCCUACGGGAGGCAGCAGUGAGGAAUAUUGGUCAAUAGGCAAGAGCCUGAACCAACCAAGUAGCGUGCAGGAUGACGGCCCUAUGGGUUGUAAACUGCUUUUAUAAGGGAAUAAAGUGAGCCUCGUGAGGCUUUUUGCAUGUACCUUAUGAAUAAGGACCGGCUAAUUCCGUGCCAGCCGCCGCGGUAA